CUGCCAGUAGCCAGAGAGGCAGGAGCUCUGUAAGCCAUGAUGUGAGUCAAAUUGCAGGAAUCGGAAAACAGCGGGUCCUUUCUGAGGCGGACUCCAGGCAAAUCUUCAGUACAAAACAGAUCCAGCAACUGCAUGUUGGGGAGAACUACCAACCAUCAGUGGAGAUGGGGGCCACAAGGAUGCGACCACCAACAGCCAGCACCCUCUGCAUGUGCCACUUCCACCAGAACCAGACCCAGGACCGGACCCUGCUGCUGGACUAAUUGGCCAUGGUGGAGGACUGGCUGACAGACUCUGGGACCUGGUGAACCUAGUACCUGGUAAAAGAGCAGGAGAGGGACCAGGUGUACCUCAUCCUCGAGAAGAGACAGAUUGCCCUCCUGGAGAGGCUGAUUGAGA